CCUCUUGCUGUGUAGCUUAUACUUGAGGCCAGCAACGGACGUAGACAUAUCUUUGAGUGUGAAGAGCGUAUCAAGCAAAAGAAAGAGAAAAAUGGCAUCACUCAAACCUGAAAAACCUGUUGCAGGCUCUCAACCACCUCCACAGGUCAAGAAAGAGCCUACAAAACCUGCUUCCGGGAGCACAGCUACACCCAAAGCUCCGGCCUCCAAACAAGCCCCUAAGAAGCCUGAGCAAAGGCCUCGGGAGCCUAAGAAGAAGGCAGCAGGAGCCAAGUGAGCAGAGACUAAGUAGAAUUAAUGAGGACGACAAGGCGUGCGUUUGAAGGGUCUGUGAAGAUGUCAAUUCAUGCCGGUACGUCCUCCGUAAUAAUGUUCAUAAAUAUUUCAGAAGUUGCUUCUGAUUUGUAUCCAUGUGUCUCCUUUUAGGCUUGGCCUACUAAAUAAAAACAUAACUAUUUCAAUAUAUAAUGAG